UGUAGCUGUGUGGCUGCCUGCUGCCAGACGUGUCCAGGUGAAGGAAAUAAGCCUUAUCCCAGGGCCAGCACCGAGGGCGACUUCCGGGCUCCUCACUGUGCACCCUACCUACAACUCUCACCUUCCUUUGCUUCCUCCAUACUAGGGCUCUGCAAUGAGAAGGAGCAGGGCAGCAGACAGCAAGUUUCACAGAGGGAAGAGACGAAAAAGGUUUAACGUUAUACGAGCUUUGGGAGAACUUCCUUGGGAUAGUAAGACCAGAAUGGCUGCUCUUGUCCCAAGUCCUGGCUAUAGCUAAGAAGAGAAUCACACACAAAGCCUUAACCACUCUGCUCAGAGGAGACUGGAGCCUUCCAAAUAUUUUGGAUGGCCGUUGCCCAGGUGGCCCUGAAUCAGGCUGUCUGCUGAGAAUCUUUGACUAAGAACUUGAAAAGACAGUCCCAAUCCUGGAUCACACAAGCUCCUAAUUAUUUAGAACUUUGGAAGAAGUGGCUAUCACGUUUUUUCACUUCUGUUGGCUAACUUCUGAGUUGGAAGACGAAGCAGAGGUCAUCUGAGUUGAGUCUCCUGCUGCCCCUUCCUGCUUUUGGCUUAAGGAUCCUGCUUCUCAGACUAAAAAGUACAGUUCUCUCCAGUCCAUGUGCUAAGCUUAUGGAAAACACCCUCUCAUGGCUUUCUCUUUGCCGUGGUUGCCUGCUGGUUCCUCAGUUGGGCUCCAGAGGAGACUGUGAUGAUAAUUGCACUGAGGCACUAUGACUAGGCUGUUAAUGUGUUACCCUGAAGCAACAACACAGCACUUCUUUGAGCUAAAGAAAUAAAAAAGCACUUUCCAAAGGGACUGAUCUUACAAUUUGAAAGAGAAGUUUCUGAAAAUCAGCGCAAUAUUGGUUACGGAGGGAAAGUAUCUGUUUUGGGGAAACUGCCAAAAGAAUUAGACCUUUAGUUUCUACCAGUUAAUCAUUAACAAUUUUAAGUCUAGGCAGAUAAACACGUUCCACCACAAAGAGAUAAGAAAGCUGGAGAGCAUCAUAGGAACGUUUACAAGUUCAAAGUCUAGAGAUUAGCCUAUGUAGCCAAUGUGAUCAAUUUCAAGGUUUCCAUUGCCCCACAGUGACAGAUGAGGCUUGAAGGCAAGGUGAGGACCACAGAAUGAUUUCAGGACUCACCUUGGAUGGCACUCAGUUCUUACUAAACUGCCAGGCUUUCUGGUGCUUUUGAUAGAGCUUUGUCUUACUUCUACAAAUUUCUCCUUGGGGUUUUACUUACUUACAAUCUCUGAUUACUUAAUCUCUUUAGUUUAAAAAUUCUUUAUUUAUUAUUCCCCCAAUUUUCAUAAUCUUCUUUCCCUGUUCACCGCAUUUCAGACCUUUCCUUGUUCCAUAGACCAUUCCUCCAGGUGAGAUACAAAGCAGCUGUUGAAGUAGGUGGCAUAAUUGUUGUUUAGACUCCCAUUAUUCAAGAGCAUAAUCCUAGGAACUCAUCCGUGUGUUUCCAAAUAUUGUAAGUCAGCCAUCCCAGUUUUCUUGUUCUUUCUUCCCAGACCAUUCUCCUUCUAGACACUGUCUUUCUGCGUGGCUCAGCAAAGGUCUGAGGCAAAAAUUAGUUCAUAGAAAGACUUCUGGCACCUGGAAAAGAUAUCUCUAAGCUUUCUUCCAAAAUGCAUGCAUGAAAUGUCCCUUUAUCCAGGUAGUAAUUUUCUGCUAACAUCACUUUACCAAGUAAUGUUCCUUUCCUCCAUGCCAAAUAUACUCACAAUGUACGAUGCAAAUGUCCUUCAGUAGAUAAAACAAACCCAUUCAUAGACACCUGCAAAUGACCAAAUGGAUUCUAUGAAGUAGAAAAGAAUUUGAAACGUAUUAAAUGGUAUUUGACUUAUUCAUAAUCAGUGUCAAUUGAGCUGAGCAGAGGAAAAAUAAAACUUUUAAUGGUAA